rnacentral:rRNA from 1 species
AGUAAUAUAUCGGAACGUGCCCAGUCGUGGGGGAUAACGUAGCGAAAGCUACGCUAAUACCGCAUACGAUCUAUGGAUGAAANCGGGGAUCGCAAGACCUCGCGCGAUUGGAGCGGCCGAUAUCAGAUUAGGUAGUUGGUGAGGUAAAGGCUCACCAAGCCGACGAUCUGUAGCUGGUCUGAGAGGACGACCAGCCACACUGGGACUGAGACACGGCCCAGACUCCUACGGGAGGCAGCAGUGGGGAAUUUUGGACAAUGGGCGCAAGCCUGAUCCAGCAAUGCCGCGUGCAGGAUGAAGGCCUUCGGGUUGUAAACUGCUUUUGUACGGAACGAAACGGUGAGCUCUAAUACAGUUUGCUAAUGACGGUACCGUAAGAAUAAGCACCGGCUAACUACGUG